GGCGCCGAUUGGCAGCGGGCGAGUGACGUGCGCGCCCCGCGGACGCCGAGGGGGCGCGCGCGGCCGCGAGGUGCGGAGCCGCGGGAAUGGAUGAGUAGGGCCGCCCUCCGUGGAAACACGGUUUUGAAGAGGGCCUGCGUACACGCUGGGCCCUUCACAUCUGUAGACGGUGGAGGCCAGGAGAAAGGAUACUGUGUGCGAUGAGGUAAAGCAUGUGAGAGUGCUUUGUAACCGGAAAGUGCCUUUCAAAACAGCUCCUGGUUUGCUGCUGGUACCUGAUAGAGAUGGAACUCCUGACCAUGGGACAUAAGUGACUAUGUGAAUGAUCGAACCAGUACUCGUCAUGAACUGGUGUUAUCUGAUUCACCAAUCAUACAACUGGAUGGGCAUAACAGCAGUUCACUCCCUACAAAACUGGGUACAUGGCCACAACUAAACUGAAUAAGCAGUAGAUUUUGGCAUGCCCAAAUCUGGAAGCGAAAAAAGCAACAACAACAACAACAAAAAAAAAACAGAGCAGCAAGGAAAAUCGGUAAGCUUUAUCCUGCAGCAAAAAUAUCAAUCUGUUCUUAAGGAAUUAAGUGCUUCACAAAGGUGAGUUCUCCAUGUGACUAAGGCUUCAAUUAUUCAUCGUGGACAGUAACCCAGUGCAGUUUGAAGGUCCUUGUCAUUACAGGUGACCUAGUAAAUGUUUGACAACUAGCUCACCAGGAAAGAAAAAAAAAAAAAAGCUUUGAUUAUGGUGUUUGCAAAUUUCUUGGGGUAAAUAUCCCACUGUGGCUCAUUUCAGGCUACCACAGGACAUCACAAAACACAGAAUUAGAAGAAGGUAUAUAUUAUCAAACUAUAAUAUUUCUAUAAUACGGAUAUGAUCAACAUAACCACAAAAACAUGGAUAAUAGUAAAAUGAGGAAAUGAAUUUUGAAUAUUUAUUAUUCUUAUAUAUUGGAUUUUAACAUAAUUGUCAGCUUACAUAGUUAAUUCUUCAUAAAGGCUGUGUUUAACAGCCUGCAAAAUUUCUAAAAAUGUUUAAAUGUACUCAUAAAGCAGUAUAAGCCAGCUCUAGCAUAUACUGCUUUCUGCACUCUUAGUUUUGGAAGUGACUUGGGCAAUAGCUAAUAUGAGUUGAAUCCUUCAUGCCUUUUUCAUAUUCCUCCAUGUAUAUGAUACAUUGUUAUGACUUUAUUACUCUUUAAAAUCUUCUGAGCCAGCUGUAAAUGUUUAAUUUGUCACUUGUAAAUAAACACAAACAAAAGGAACUCCAUAAACAAUGGGAAAAAAUAGAGACAUUUCCUCAAGGAAGAAAUAUAGACAGCAAAACAGCACAUGAAAAGAUGCUGAACAUCAUUAGUCACUAGGUAAAUGCAAAUUAAAAUAACAAUGAGCUAUACCACUACAUACCUAUUAGAAUGGCUGAUUAAAAAGACUGGUCAUAACAGGUCAGGGGGAAUUGGAAUUCUCAGUAUAUAACUAGUGAGAAUGUAAAAUGGUACAACCACUUGGAAAACAGCUUGGCAGUUUCUUAAAAAGGUAAAUGUAUACCUAUCAUAAUCCACCUAUUCCAUUCCAACCUAUUUACCAAAAAGAAAACCUAUGUCCAUACAAACACUUAUACAAGAGUAUUUGUUAUAUACAAAAACUGGAAACAACCAGAAUGUCCACCGAUGGGUGAAUGGAUAUAGAAAUUGUGGCAUAUCCAUACAAAGAAUACUACUCAGUAGUAAAAAACAAAAAACAAAAAACUGUUGAGUGACACAACAUAGGUAAAUCUCAAAAUAAUUAUGCUGAGUGAAAAAAGUCACGGAGGGCAUGCCGUUUGAUUCUAUUUAAAUAAAAUUACAGAAAAUGCCAACUAAGCUAUAGGACAAAAUGAUCAUUGGCUUCAAGUGGGUGCAAGGAAGAGGAGUUGGGUUGGGGGAACAGAAAGGGUUUACAAAGGACUACACAGACACUUGUAGUGAGGCAUAUGUUUAUUAUCUUGAUUUUGGUGAUUGUUUCAUGGGUGUAUACAUAUGUCAAAUUACCAAAUUGUGUAAUUUAAAUAUAUGUGAUAUACUGUAUGUCAAUUAUAUUUCAAUAAAGCUAUAAGAAAUAUUUA